AGUGAACGCUGGCGGUAGGCCUAACACAUGCAAGUCGAACGGCAGCACAGUAAGAGCUUGCUCUUACGGGUGGCGAGUGGCGGACGGGUGAGGAAUACAUCGGAAUCUACUUUUCGUGGGGGAUAACGUAGGGAAACUUACGCUAAUACCGCAUACGACCUACGGGUGAAAGCAGGGGAUCUUCGGACCUUGCGCGAUUGAAUGAGCCGAUGUCGGAUUAGCUAGUUGGCGGGGUAAAGGCCCACCAAAGCGACGAUCCGUAGCUGGUCUGAGAGGAUGAUCAGCCACACUGGAACUGAGACACGGUCCAGACUCCUACGGGAGGCAGCAGUGGGGAAUAUUGGACAAAGGGCGCAAGCCUGAUCCAGCCAUACCGCGUGGGUGAAGAAGGCCUUCGGGUUGUAAAGCCCUUUUGUUGGGAAAGAAAAGCAGCAGGUUAAUACCCCGCUGUUCUGACGGUACCCAAAGAAUAAGCACCGGCUAACUUCGUG
rnacentral:rRNA from 1 species